CAGCGAGUAGUUUAAUUAAAAUAUUAAUUUUGGAGAUUAAAGAUAAAUUUGUAUUUUUCGCUGA
rnacentral:tRNA from 2 species